rnacentral:lncRNA from 1 species
AGCCCGUAGACAACGAUGCAGAGGACCAGGUUUCACUAUGCUCCUUACAGUGGAUCCUUAGGAUACUCACACCAACUACAUCUAUUUGGAUCCCAACCUGGCCAGUGUUGUUGGGUAAGUUAUAUAGUUAUACUUCCAACCCUGGCCGUGUUGUGGGUAAGUUAUAUAUGUCAUCCACUUCAACCUGGCCGUAAGUGUUGUU